rnacentral:lncRNA from 1 species
CAGGACCUUCUCUUUCAGGCUCUGGGGCCUGUGUCCUCCAAGCAGGUACAAUACCCACUAGACCAUCUCCUCAGCCCGAAGACUGCUCUUGAAGGCUCCAUGGUGUCAGAUUCCCUGAGGACCGGCUAUCCACGCUUGAGUAUAAAAGCUGGCCUUGUCCCCACAAGCCUGGCGUGACCUAUGGCUGUUCUGGCCACCCACGAGGGUUGCAGCCUGAGUAGACAGAAGUCCAAAAGUCAAGAGGCCAGGCUUGACCCUGGGGAGGACAGCUGGCUCCUGUGGAGAAAACUUCCCUGGACCUGGAGGAAGUCAGCCCAGGCCUGGCUAGGCAGGAUGAUGUAUUCAAAGCAUCCGCCAUCACAGUGCAGAGCACUGCCUGCUGUCAGGAUGUCUGGCAUGGUGGGGACCAUCUUAUCAAGUGUUUGGCCCCCAGGAGUGGACAGUGCUCGCCACCUAGGUUAUAAGCUAAAUGCUGUGGCCGCACGACCAGGUGAACACUUUGAAAACCUACAAGCAGAAGAUGAGCUCAAGAGAUCUCUCCAACCAAAGUUUCCCUGAGCGUCAGGCACCAGAGCACUGGUUUCCUCUCAGCCUGUCAGAUCCAGACACUGAGGCUGUAGUUGGCGCAGGAUCAAGUGGUUUCCCAAGUUGUACUUCUUCCAUCUGCAAAGAAAGACAAGAAAAGCCCCACCCAGAGCUCUCAGGAGCCAAGGCCUCCUGGAGGGAGCAAGGGAGCAUGGGAAGGAGCUGAGGCCAGGCUUCUGGCAAGGAACUCAGGUCUGAACACAGACGUAGUGAGCUGGGGAACCUGGGCUGGGCACAGCAGACAAUGGGUCCCGCAAGCCUUGCUUCUCAUCCACUUUUUUCUCUGCUCCCCCUUCAUUCCUUCUGUUGUUUGUCUAGGAGCCAAGCCCUUUGGAGUCCGGCAUCAGCACUGUCCCUCUACACUUCCUCUUUCCUUCCUGGGUCCUCAGUGCCUGCUGUGUGCCAGGCCCUGGGCCCACCAUUGUCCCGGUCUCCAUGGUCCCUGGAGAGGGCAGAAAUGGGCAGAAACUUGGUGGCAUGUAUUCACAGAGUCAGUCCACAUCCCAAAGUCUCCCAUAGUAGGUGCCAGAACCACAGAGAUGACCAAGCUAUACACUGCCUGCAGCCAGUUCAGGCUAGCUGAGGACAUAAGUGGGAACUCUUACUUCCAAGCCCCAACAGCUGUGAGAAUGGGAACAGGAAGUGGGGGGAGAGUGCUGUUGAUCCCCAGAGGGAGCCGGCUUUGCCUCUGAAUGUGUGUUUAGUCAUUCAUUUAUUUCAUCAGGCGUCUGUUAUUGAGCAUCUGUGGCCUGGACGGUGCUGGGAACAGCCAGGGGACUAUGAGGAAGGCAGGCUUUCCAAUGGGCAGACCACUCUUUAUAGAGACAGGCUGAGCCUGUGGUAGAGACUGCAGGGGCCUGGGCAGCAGCAGAUGUGUGAGCCUCAACAGGGGUUAGGACAUGGGGGCAUUCUGAGUUGUAGACCGGAACAGGUAGACCAGACCCUGUGGUGGGAGGCUGGCUUCUGGGUUAUUCUGUGUUCCAGUUCUACCCAGGGUCAGACCACCAGGGGCAAAUAGAGGCAGGACAUAGAGUGGGAAGGCUGGGUCUCUGAAACAGCAGGAAGACCUAUACUCUAUCCAAGAACAUAUGCAGGACCUUUGGAAAUGAGUCAUUAGAACAGAGGGCUUCAUUGUGAAGAUUCUCUGGAGCCAGGACUUCCUCAUCUGCCCCACCCUGGGGCAGAUUUACAUGUCUAUUUACAUGUGUUUGCAUAAAGUACGUUCUGAUCUCAUAUUCAUCAGGCAUUUUGAUUUAUGUCAUUUCCCUCAUUCCCC